rnacentral:rRNA from 1 species
AACGAACGCUGGCGGCGUGCCUAACACAUGCAAGUCGAACGAGACCUUCGGGUCUUGUGUCGCACGGGUGCGUAACGCGUGGGGACCUGCCCUUAGGUUAGGAAUCACUCCCCGAAAGGGGUGCUCAUGCCGGAUAGUCUCUUCGGGCCAACGAUUUCUCGCCUUUGGGUGGGCGCGGGUUGGAUUCGCUGGUUGGUAGGGUAAAAGCCUACCAAGACGACGAUGCAUAGCUGGUCGGAGAGGAUGAUCAGGCACACUUGGACUGAGACACGGCCCAGAAUCGUACGGGAGGGAGCAGUGGGGAAUAUUGGACGAGGGGCGAAAGCCUGACCCAGCAAUGCCGCGGAAGUGAUGAAGGCCGUAGGGUUGUAAAGCUGUUUUAGCCGAGAUGAUAAUGACAGUACCGGGUGAAGAAGCUCCGGCUAACUACGUG